rnacentral:rRNA from 1 species
AGUGAACGCUGGCGGCAGGCCUAACACAUGCAAGUCGAGCGGCAGCGGGUCCCCGCGAGGGGAUGCCGGCGAGCGGCGGACGGGUGAGGAACACAUCGGAAUCUGCCUGGUUGUGGGGAUAACGUAGGGAAACUUACGCUAAUACCGCAUGCGACCCUGAGUCGACGGACUGGGGGUGAAAGUGAGGGACCUUCGGGCCUCACGCGACCAGAUGAGCCGAUGUCGGAUUAGCUAGUUGGCGGGGUAACGGCCCGCCAACGGCGACGAUCCGUAGCUGGUCUGAGAGGA